CCAUCACUACAAAAAAAAGGUUCAAUACCGAGAACAUUAUACCGACAACAUGUCCUCGGUAUAUACAUUUCAUAUGCGCGGGACAUUUUCGCGGUUCUGAAUAGGUUUAGUUGCUAUACCGAGGACCUAUACCGAGAACAUGUUCUCGGUAUAGGGUUUAUAAAUAUCACACUCAGCCGCGAAGCCCCUUCUCCUUCCUCUCUGGUUUCUCUGGGUUUUCUCCGAAACCUCCGCCUCCCUCCGCCGAUUAUAGUCGUUUUCCUCCAUAAAAGCUCGGUUUUAAGCCCCAAAAUUGCCAAGGGUGAAGGAAUUUCUGUGUAUUUGUUGAAGGUUGGGUAUUCGGUUUUUGUUGGAUUAUAGGGAUUGCUAGCAAGAUAUUGAAGGCAUUGUGCUACAUUCAUACAAUGUCGAUCGACAAGAGUUGGAUUAAUUUGACAGAUCGAUUAUCCGAUGAGUAUGAGGCUGGUGUGAUGGAUUUUCUCCAGAGAGCCCGGCAGUGCGUUGACUCAAGGGGAUUGGUGAAAUGUCCGUGUAGGAGGUGUGUCAACGUUGAAUUUCAGACAAUUGAUGUAUUAGAAAAUCAUCUUUUUGUAAAUGGUUUUCUACGGAAAUAUACCAAUUGGCAUUGGCAUGGAGAGGAUGAAAUAAUACCAAUGAGAGCUCGGAUAGAUCAAAAUGAUGAAGAUGAGAUGAUGGAUGUUCUCACUGAUCUUAUGCAA